GCCGGUGUAGCUCAACUGGCAGAGCAGCGCCUUUGUAAGGCGAAGGUUGGAGGUUCGAGUCCUCUCACCGGCU
rnacentral:tRNA from 1 species